GGAAGCACCAUGGCUCAUUGGUAGAGCAUCUUUGCAUGCAGAAUGUGGUUCCAGGUUCAAUCCCUGGUAUCUCCA